GAUGAACGCUGGCGGCGUGCCUAAUACAUGCAAGUCGAGCGAACAGAUGAGGAGCUUGCUCCUCUGACGUUAGCGGCGGACGGGUGAGUAACACGUGGAUAACCUACCUAUAAGACUGGGAUAACUUCGGGAAACCGGAGCUAAUACCGGAUAAUCUAUUGAACCGCAUGGUUCAAUAGUGAAAGACGGUUUUGCCGUCACUUAUAGAUGGAUCCGCGCCGCAUUAGCUAGUUGGUAAGGUAACGGCUUACCAAGGCAACGAUGCGUAGCCGAUCUGAGCGAGGGAUCGGCCACACUGGGACUGAGACACGGUCCAGACUCAUACGGGAGGCAGCAGUAGGGAAUCGUCCGCAAAAGGGGAAAGCCUGACGAAGCAACGCCGCGUGAGUGAUGAAGGUCUUCGGAUCGUAAAACUCUGUUAUUAGGGAAGAACAACUGUGGAAGUAACUAUGCACGUCUUGACGGUACCGAAUCAGAAAGCCACGGCUGACUACGUG
rnacentral:rRNA from 1 species